rnacentral:rRNA from 1 species
UACGAAGGUGGCAAGCGUUGUUCGGAUUUACUGGGCAUACAGGGAGCGUAGGCGGUUGGAUAAGCCCUCCGUGAAAUCUCCAGGCUUAACCUGGAAAGUGCAGAGGGGACUGUUCAGCUAGAGGAUGGGAGAGGAGCGCGGAAUUCCCAGUGUAGAGGUGAAAUUCGUAGAUAUUGGGAAGAACACCGGUGGCGAAGGCGGCUCUCUGGACCGAUACUGACGCUGAGGCGCGAAAGCGUGGGGAACAAACAGG